UACAGAGGGGGCGAGCGUUGUUCGGAAUUACUGGGCGUAAAGGGCGCGUAGGCGGCCUCUUAAGUCGAACGUGAAAUCCCCGGGCUCAACCCGGGAACUGCGUCCGAUACUGGGGGGCUUGAAUCCGGGAGAGGGAUGUGGAAUUCCAGGUGUAGCGGUGAAAUGCGUAGAUAUCUGGAGGAACACCGGUGGCGAAGACGGCAUCCUGGACCGGCAUUGACGCUGAGGCGCGAAAGCCAGGGGAGCAAACGGG
rnacentral:rRNA from 1 species